rnacentral:rRNA from 1 species
GACGAACGCUGGCGGCGUGCCUAAUACAUGCAAGUCGAGCGCAGGAAACUGACGGAACUCUUCGGAGGGAAGGCAGUGGAAUGAGCGGCGGACGGGUGAGUAACACGUAAGGAACCUGCCUCAAGGAUUGGGAUAACUCCGAGAAAUCGGAGCUAAUACCGGAUAGUUCAACGGACCGCAUGGUCCGCUGAUGAAAGGCGCUCCGGCGUCACCUUGAGAUGGCCUUGCGGUGCAUUAGCUAGUUGGUGGGGUAACGGCCCACCAAGGCGACGAUGCAUAGCCGGCCUGAGAGGGUGAUCGGCCACACUGGGACUGAGACACGGCCCAGACUCCUACGGGAGGCAGCAGUAGGGAAUCUUCCACAAUGGACGAAAGUCUGAUGGAGCAACGCCGCGUGAGUGAUGAAGGUUUUCGGAUCGUAGAACUCUGUUGUAAGGGAAGAACACGUACGAGAGGAAAUGCUCGUACCUUGACGGUACCUUACGAGAAAGCCACGGCUAACUACGUGCCAGCCGCCGCAGUAAAAC